rnacentral:misc_RNA from 1 species
GCCAAGAUGAGUGAUUUAGUUGUUCACUAUGUGGAUUCAGAUUUUGCAAGGGACUUAGACAAGAAGAGAUCUUUGAUAGGUUAUUUGUUUGCUCUUUCUGGAAAUGCUAUCAGUUAGAAGGCAACAUUGCAAGCUACAGUUGUUUUGUCUACCACAGAUGCUGAAUUUAUGGCCUUAGCAGAGGCAGUAAAGGAAGUUUUAUGGUUAUACGGUUUAGUGGGUGAUCUUGGGUUGAUACAAAACAAGGCAACGGUGUUUUGUGACAGCUAGAGUGCAAUACAUCUCACAAAGAAUCAGAUAUACCAUGAAUGAACUAAGCACAUUGAUGUCAGAU